UUAUUUAUUUAUUUCCGCAGUAGGAUCCCCGGCUCCGCCGUCCCCCUGGACGCUUUCCGGAACCUUCCGUGUCCCAGGCCGCUCCUGGAAGCGGCGCUCCUCCCACGGCCUGCCUCGGCGGAGCCAGGUGGUGUGCAGCCAUUCCAUUCCAUCCCAUCAAAUAAGCACCGUAGGAAAAGGGCAUUAAAGCUGCAUGAGCCAACAUGGACGAACCACGUUUAGACAAAAACAUUACGGGAUGUGCAUGAAUGCAGGAGGUGUCAAAAGAUACAGUAAUUCCACUGAAAGCUUAACACCGUAUUUAGCUCCUAUG